rnacentral:rRNA from 1 species
CAGGGGCGACAUACUAUAAUGCAAGUCGAGCGAAUGGAUUAGGAGCUUGCUCCUUAUGACGUUAGCGGCGGACGGGUGAGUAACACGUGGGUAACCUGCCCUAUAGACUGGGAUAACUCCGGGAAACCGGGGCUAAUACCGAAUAAUCUUUUUUACUUCAUGGUUCGAAAUUGAAAGACGGCUUCGGCUGUCACUUAUGGAUGGACCCGCGUCGCAUUAGCUAGUUGGUGAGGUAACGGCUCACCAAGGCAACGAUGCGUAGCCGACCUGAGAGGGUGAUCGGCCACACUGGGACUGAGACACGGCCCAGACUCCUACGGGAGGCAGCAGUAGGGAAUCUUCCACAAUGGACGAAAGUCUGAUGGAGCAACGCCGCGUGAGUGAAGAAGGCUUUCGGAUCGUAAAACUCUGUUGUUAGGGAAGAACAAGUGCUAUUUGAACUGGCUGUACCUUUGACGGUACUUAUUCAAAAGCCCCGGGUUAAUUACUUGCCACCACCGCCGGUAUACCUUAGGUGGCAAGCUUGUUCCGAAUUUAUGGGCCGUAAGCCGGCCCCGGCUGUUCUCUUAAUUCGAUGGUGAAACCCAACGGUCCACCGGGGAAGGUCAUUUGAAACUGGGGAAACUUGAUUGCAAAGAAGAAAAUGGAAUUUCCAUGUGUACGGUUGAAUGGCUUAAAGAUUUGAAGAACCACCAUUGCCAAAGGCAAUUUUCGGUCCUGUACCGAACCUGAGGGCGCAAAACCUGGGGGAACCAAACAGGAAUAAUAUACCCUGGGUAUUCCCCGCCGUAAACCGAUGAAGUGCUAAGUGGUAAGAGGGUUUCCGCCCCUUAGUUGCUGCAAGCUAACGGCAUUAAGCAACUCCGCCUGGGGGAGUACCGUCCGCAAGAGCUGAAACCUCAAAAGAAUGACCGGGGGCCCGCCACAAGCGGGUGAGCAUGGUGGUUUAAUUCGAGCACGCGAGACUACAGGUCUGACAUCGCUGACACCGUAGAGAUAAGCUCUCCUCGGAGCAACGUGACAAGUGUGCAUGUUGUCUCACUCUGUCUGAAGUCGAUAAGUCCGCACGAGGCCACCUGAACUAUGCAUCAUAAUGACCUAGGUACUGCGUACACAGGAGUGAUACUAACUCAUGCUGACUGCUCACGGUUCAAUGACGUACACGGUC